rnacentral:rRNA from 1 species
ACGAACGCUGGCGGCGUGCUUCACCCCUGCAAGUCGAACGAAGAGCGAUGGAAGCUUGCUUCUAUCAAUCUUAGUGGCGAACGGGUGAGUAACGCGUAAUCAACCUGCCCUUCAGAGGGGGACAACAGUUGGAAACGACUGCUAAUACCGCAUACGAUCUAACCUCGGCAUCGAGGAAAGAUGAAAGGUGGCCUCUAUGUAUAAGCUAUCACUGAAGGAGGGGAUUGCGUCUGAUUAGCUAGUUGGAGGGGUAACGGCCCACCAAGGCGAUGAUCAGUAGCCGGUCUGAGAGGAUGAACGGCCACAUUGGGACUGAGACACGGCCCAGACUCCUACGGGAGGCAGCAGUGGGGAAUCUUCCGCAAUGGACGAAAGUCUGACGGAGCAACGCCGCGUGAGUGAUGACGGCCUUCGGGUUGUAAAGCUCUGUUAAUCGGGACGAAAGGCCUUCUUGCGAAUAGUGAGAAGGAUUGACGGUACCGGAAUAGAAAGCCACGGCUAACUACGUG